rnacentral:rRNA from 1 species
UACGUAGGGCGCAAGCGUUAUUCGGAAUUAUUGGGCGUAAAGGGCGCGUAGGCGGCUUGGCAAGUGGAUGGUGAAAUCCCUCGGCUUAACCGAGGAACUGCCGUCCAAACUGCUUCGCUUGAGACCGGGAGAGGUGAGUGGAAUUCCCAGUGUAGCGGUGAAAUGCGUAGAUAUUGGGAGGAACACCAGUGGCGAAGGCGGCUCACUGGACCGGUACUGACGCUGAUGCGCGAAAGCGUGGGGAGCAAACGGG